rnacentral:rRNA from 1 species
UAUGCACACUCUCUUCAGUACGAAAGGACAAGAAAGUAGGACUAUUUUCCCAACAAGUCCUUCCCCUCACGAAGUAAUAUCAACCCCACAGUACCCCAUCAUCCGAAAACAGGAC